CCACACUACUACUGAAGACCAGAAGACAUCAUCCAGAUAAACAGCCAUCAAUCAGACAGCAUCGUCCAACUGUAAGAGUAAAGGAUGAAGAUCCAGAGUAUGUUACUGCUGUUCGCUCUAGUGGGUGUCCUGUUAGCAAGCUCCCUCAAUGAAGAUAACUCUGAGGAAGCUCUCCUGCAGGAGGAUGAUCUAAAAGGUGUAAAGGCUGCCUUUUUGGCAAAGUUGGCUUCUCUGAAGAACAGCCCCUCUGAAGAUGAAGGACCACUUUUUGGCAAGCUUUGGAAAAAAAUGAAGGAACAUUUGGGCUGAGAACCGACCAGAAUGGGGCUCCGAGGAUCCUUUUCAGUCUCCAUAUCAAAUCAGCUAUCACCUCUGAAGUCAUCACUAACAAUACCUCAAUGAAUCAUUCCAACAUCCAUCCAUCAAUGAUUGACUAACAUGAAAACAAAACAGUACUAGAGUUCUUGGGACUUUGGUACUGAGAAGAACUCAUCAACAUUCUGAAGA